CAUUAAUUUGAUAUUGCAUCCAGCGGCUUCUUCAGAUUCCAAUUGCGCCAUUUCUUAUCAAGGUUAACCAUCGUCUCACAAGGCCACUUAUCGCGCAUGUACACUACUACAUCUUGGGUUUCGCCAAAAAAAGGAUAGAAAGUUUGUGUUUUCGUUCAGACGUUUGGCUAACGUUCAAUAUUUAUACUGUGUUUAUCGUUCCACUCGAUUCCAUAUCCCAACUAAGUCAGAAAACAAAAGGACACAACGCGAACGCGGGUACCAUGGGACGACGAAUUAUCAACUCAGGUUUCUGGCCGCGUUCCAUCGCGGCAACAAAUAAGGACCACCAUUUCGUGAGUGUAUCCACACCGAAAUGCUGCUUAUGGCCGCCUGUCCUUUUUCUGCGGGAUACGCAACACGUGACUGACCGUUCACAAGCUUAUAACACUACAUAUCUCUGUGGACAAGGUCAAUCCGAGAGAUGCACGUCUGCGUCUGUCAAUAUCAAAGAGAACUUUUUCCGAGAUAAGACAAUUUGGCGUCUUUUCAUUUCUCGCUUUCUAUAAGCUAUUAAUGUGUUUGAUGAACUGACUUGAUCCUUUUAGCGAGCUGCCACGUGACCGUUGUUUUGACGUAAGCAAAUAGAAGAAGAAGAAGAAGCGGCGCGAUAUCGGAUAUUAGGGCGUUCACCGGAUGCUCGACGCAGAUCCUGGAGCGAAAUUGGAUGGAUCUGUUGGGCUGUUGAAAUUGGAAGGUACUGGAAGCACGACCGCCUGGGCUGAACUGUAGGACGAUGGAGUGGCC